rnacentral:lncRNA from 1 species
CUUCCUCUUCUACCUGGACCGGAUCCACCACAGGUGAGCCUCUCAGUAAUCCUGGCGGCUGCCCAGCCCUGCUACUCUCCGACUCGUCAUCAGUCAUAGGAUGCCUCUUGCCAUCUGACUGCUGAUCUCGGCUCCUUGUCUGUAGUUUGAGCCUUUUCUGCAUCUGUUUCAACAGUGACUCCUCACGACUAAGCCUCCUGCCCACAGUGUAACUCUCCCCACCAUCCCUGUUGCUCUAGUCUUUCCAAAGCUUUAAAAAAAU